rnacentral:rRNA from 1 species
GACGAACGCUGGCGGCGUGCUUAACACAUGCAAGUCGAACGGAAAGGCCCGGCUUUUGUGGGGUGCUCGAGUGGCGAACGGGUGAGUAACACGUGAGUAACCUGCCCUUGACUUUGGGAGAACUUCAGGAAACUGGGGCUAAUACCGGAUAGGAGCUCCUGCUGCAUGGUGGGGGUUGGAAAGUUUCGGCGGUUGUGGAUGGACUCGCGGCUUAUCAGCUUGUUGGUGGGGUAGUGGCUUACCAAGGCUUUGACGGGUAGCCGGCCUGAGAGGGUGGCCGGGCACCUUGGGACUGAGAUAGGGAGCAGAAUCCUAUGGGACGCAGCAGUGGGGAAUAUUGCACAAUGGGCGGACGCCUGAUGCAGAAAUGCCGCGUGCGGGAUACUGUCUUUCGGGUUGUAAACAGAUUUCGACUGUGACGAAGCGUGAGUGACGGUAACGGGUCAAGAAGCACCGGCUAACUACGUG